ACCGGCACCACCCCUCUGGAGUCUCCUCUUAACCAUGUUGGAGGCGAAUAUAGGGAGCCAAAGGAGAGCACACAGAACCCUGCAGGAGGUCAAGGCCAAAGUCCUCUGGGCCCCAGGAAGUCACUCAGGGAUCGGACAGGAUUUUGCUGGCUGUUGCCUUGAAGUGUUUGCCUGGUGCCAUGCCACCCUGCCUGGGAGCCAGCUGAUUAUGGACUAAAACGUCCACAAAUUAUGGCUGAAGAAAGCAAAAUCAUACAGAAGUGGCAGGCCCUGGGGAACAGAGAAAGAUCCUCUCAGCAGUGCACUCAGUGAUGCGAACAGUACUAUGAAGUCCUCACUUUCUGCUCUGUCUCGGGAGUGAACAACGUCUCACCUAGCCUCUCCUCUCUCUCUGGUCAGCAGCCACACAGCUCCUCAUCCGCUAAAUAGGCAGCACAAGCCAGCUUUGAACACAUGUAGAUGGUUUGCAUUCUGGCAUAGCCUACUAGAUGGGUAACCUGAUGACAGUAGAAGCUUAUAUCCUGGACUCCCAUCUUGAAGAUACCCUCGGGACCACAUCCUUGCGCGCCUGGACACAGGAAGGUGGUGAUCUGUAGAAGCACGGUACUUAUUUUUGGGGGGUGCUGGGAUCAAACCCAGAUCCUAGUGCAUGCAAGGCAAGAACUCUAUCGCUGAGCCACAUUCCCAGCCCUGCAGUUUUUAAAUGUAUGAUUUUCCUUGUCUCCUUUGUACUUCACUUUUUCCAUCGUACUUCACUUUUUCCAUCAUACUUCACUUUUUCCAUCCUACUUCAUCAUCACAUUUGCAACAUCUGAGUAUUGGGGGAACACAUUUAACCCAUAGUAUUCCACACCUGGCCUCCCCAAACUUAUAUCCUCACACACAAAAUGCAUUCACUUGGUCUCAAUAGCCCCAAAAGUCUUUAACCUAUUCUAUCAUCUACUCAAAAGUCUAGUCUAGAUUCUUAUUUAAAUAACAUACUGACGAGACUCAAAGCUGUGUUUCAUCCUGAGGGAAAUUGCUCUCAUCUGUGGGUCUAUGAGAUCAAUGAAAUAUAUAUUUACAAAAUACUUUAGUGAGACACAAUUAGAGCAGACACAUCAAUUCCAAAAGAAAAAAAAAUAGGAAGAUAUGGCUGUCCCAUUAACAAAAGAAAGGGGCCAACUUUUAUGGGGUUUACUGGGGUGGAUGAGGGUCUGGUGGUUAUUAUUUCAGUUCUGGUUCUGCUAGAUGGUUCCAGAGAGGUCUUUAUUUCUGGAGGAUAAAUCUAGUUCUCUUGGGAGAUUGCUUCCUUCGCCAUUCUCCAAUCUUAUUAAGAGUUCAUGCAUAGGUAUUAUAUACUAUGUGUAUAAUUAAGAGCAGAGUGAAUUCCAGGAUAGGCCUGCAGGUUAAGACCCCUGAACUGACACAGCACCCUGUCAGUCACUCCUGUCAGUCAUAUCUAGAGAUUCAGGGAGAGAACCUGGGUUGAGGUGCACACUCUUACCCUUGGGGGAUCCUGGAAAUUCUGUGUUGAAGGAGCAUACUAAAGGGUGCAUAAAAGUCACACGUAUUCUUUAGAAGUAUUUCUAUUGAUGAGUUAAUAAUUUUAUGAGUUUUGUUAUAUUAAAUAAUGAAUACUUAACAGGAAAACAUAUCAAAAAUAAAGUAUUGAAUUUUUAAUAUUUAUUGUUCAUAAAAAAGUAUCAAAAUUUUCAAUAUUGAUUUACAAAGUCUAAAAAAUAACAACAGAAAUAAAUUCUGUAUAAACUGUAAUGAAAAUACCAAUAUAACUCUGCAACCAAACUAAUCUUUACUUCAACUGUCACACCGAAGGUAGUCUUCACGCAGACAACUGCACAUUCUGUGCAAGAGUCUCACUCACACUGACACCAUGUGUUUAGUUCUCCUGUCUUUUUUGCAGGAUAAACUUUACAUCUCAGUAGUCUUACAGUUUUAUUAGGAGCUUCUUACUAUAUUGUAAAAUGUGCACUUAGCAGGAAAAUAAGAUCAAUAAAAUAAAAUAUCAAAUAUGUAAUGAGGGCUUAGAAUAGACACCAACAUUUUCAUAUACUGUGUACCUGCUUACAAAACCCAAAAGGUAACAUCAGAAGUAAAUAUCUACAUGAAUGACAAUAUAAACAUGAACAAAAGUCUACCGCAGAACAAUCUUUGCUUCGGUUGUCUUCAUACACGAAAACUGCAUGCACUGUGGGCAGCAUCACCUGAACUGAUAGCCCCUGUUUUGUUUUCCGUCCUUUUUUUUUAGUAGGGCACAGCUGACAUCGUUCUGGUUUUCCUGUUGUCACAGUGGGUCUUUGUGAUACUGCACCUGCCUGUUCACCUGUCAGCUCAGCAGUGUGCUCCACAAUUUUUUUUUUGGUGUAUUUCCCUGGGCAAAAAUAUUUUGCUCUUCCUCUCUUGUAAAUGAUCUCUUAUGAGUGCCCCAUGCCAAUCCUCUAAUAAAAUUUCUCCAUGAUAUUUUUUAUUUGCUAUUUUCUUUGUAAACUAUCAAAUGACUCAUGCCACACAUGUCUAGGACGAAGUAAAACACAAUUGGCCAGCACUUUGUGUUUCGAGGAGCAUCAGAGUUGCUGUGUAAACUCAACAACAACUUGGUUUGUUUUUGUUCUAAAAAGUUUCCAUCUCAGGUUCCAUUUCAGGUUUGUUGAAUUUUUCCAUCGUGGUGUAAUGUGGCCAUCAGCAGUACCAGUGUGUUAUUCUUUCCAAUGUUAUAUCUGUCUGAAAUUCAAAGAUUGUACUACAAAAUUCUCUGUUUUGAAAUUGCAGCACUUCAUUGGGAAUUUUUGCCUUGUGAUUGUGUGCAGUGCCUAUGCUGGGCAACUUGUGCUUUGUCAGCAAAUGUAACAUCAGUCUGACACUGGUGAACAAACUGUUGAAUAUCACUUUCCUAUUGGUUUGGGGAAUGGGAGCAACAAAUUUGUUCACAGCAUCAUUUGUUCAUUACCACACAAAUAAAGACCUGGUAGCUGAGUUCCAGAAUAAUUUCUAAAUUUAAAGUAUAUGUCUUUGUGCCCUAGAAUACCAACAGAGAUACUGGGCAACAAAGGGAAGGCAGGGGCAUCACAAUCCCUGACUUGAAGUAUACUAUAAACCUACUGUGAUAAAAACAGCCUGAUACUGGGGAAAACCCCACAUGGACCCGUGGUUCAGUGGAACAGAUUAGAAGGUUCAGAAACAGCUUAGCCACUUCUCUAAUACAGAUGCCAAACACAUUCACUUGAAGAAAGAUAAUUUCUGUAAUAAAUGAUAUUGGAAAAUCUGGCUUUCCACAUGCCAAAGAUUAACACUAGACCCAUAUCUUUCACCAUCCACUAAACUAAAAUAAAAAUUGAUCAAAUGUCUAAAUAUUAAAACAGAAACACUAAUCUUCUGGAAGAUAGAAUACAUAAAACUCUUGAAGACAUUGGUGUAUACAAUGACUUUAUAAACAAAACUCCAAAUGCACAGGAACUAUCACAAAUAAUCAACAACUUGGGUCUCAUCUUAUUGAAAAGCUUGUGCACAGCAAGAGGAACUACCACCAGAGUGAGGAGACAACACACAGUGUGGGAAAAAAUCUUUGGCAGCUGUUCCUCAGACAAAGGACUACUACCUGGAAUAAAUAAAGAACUCCCAAAAGAUUAGACCUUCCCCAAAACUUAAAGACCUAAUUCAAAAAUGGGCAUCUGAAACGAACGGAUACUUCUCAGAUGAAGAAAUAGAAAUGGCAAAUAAAUAUAUGAAAAUACA